rnacentral:rRNA from 1 species
GAUGAACGCUGGCGGCGUGCCUAAUACAUGCAAGUCGAGCGAACAGAUAAGGAGCUUGCUCCUUUGACGUUAGCGGCGGACGGGUGAGUAACACGUGGAUAACCUACCUAUAAGACUGGGAUAACUUCGGGAAACCGGAGCUAAUACCGGAUAACAUAUUGAACCGCAUGGUUCAAUAGAGAAAGGCGGCUUUGCUGUCACUUAUAGAUGGAUCCGCGCCGUAUUAGCUAGUUGGUAAGGUAACGGCUUACCAAGGCAACGAUACGUAGCCGACCUGAGAGGGUGAUCGGCCACACUGGAACUGAGACACGGUACAGACUCCUACGGGAGGCAGCAGUAGGGAAUCGGCAGCCAUGGGCGAAGGCCUGACGGAGAAGCGCCGAGUGAGUGAUGAAGGUCUUCGGAUCGUAAAACUCUGUUAUCAGGGAAGAACAAAUGUGUAAGUAACUGUGCACAUCUUGACGGUAACUGAUCAGAAAGCCACGGCUAACUACGUG